AUGUAUGACCAUGGCGGCAGCUCCUCAUCCGGGCCGCGCGCCAAGGAGGAGAUGCAGCCAGAGGUGGUUCUCUACACGGCGUCGGCGUCGCGCCGCAGGGGUCGCACCUCCACCAACCUCUACGCCCUGCGCGCCCUGCUGCGGGGCUACGGCCUGACCAUGUACGAGCGCGACGUGUCCAGGAGCAAAGCGCAUCGCUGCGAGCUCAAGUCGUUGCUUGCGGCUCGGGGCUGCGCCUUCUCCCUCCCGCAGCUCCUCGUCGGUGGCCGGCUCGUUGGCUGCCCUGACGAUGUUAGGAAGCUGCACCGGGCUGGCGGGCUGCGGCCUCUCCUCGACGGCGCCCCAAGGCCGUACGCCGCCUUCGUCUGCCAAGCCUGUAAGAGGGUUGGCUCCGAGCCCUGCCCACAGUGCAGCGAGUCCCGCAACAACAAGAUGCUGGAUCAUGGCAUUAUUGCCGACGAGCAGGACACAGUUGUCCUUUUUUAUCCAACCCAAGAUGUUUCAAUAGGAGGUAGAGGCAGAGAGAUGAAUGCCAGUACCAGUGUUUCUCUGGGUGCCAUGAGACCCCUACUUAAGAAGCUUGACAUGAUGUUAGGUCCUCAUGGAUGCAAGCUGACCAAGUGGGUCAAUGAUAGGUCGCAGCUCCUCAGAGAUGAUCUUGAAGAAAUAGGCUCAUACCUUGAAGAUAUGUUAGAGGUGGAAGACCCUCCCCUGGCGGCCCAGUGCUGGAAGAAAGAGGCACGGGAGUUAUCUUAUGACAUCCAAGAUUGUAUUGACAACUUUGUGCCCCCUGAGUCUCUUGGCUACAAAUCUGACCACAAGAUGACUCGUGUUAAGAUUCCCAAGAGGCUCAAGUGGCAGAAACAGAUCGAAUAUGCAGCUCCUGAUGUGUCAGGACAUUUUAUCUCCAAAACCAUUUGUGUUGAUGUCAUUCGUGCUCCCAGGAAGCACAAGUGGUACCAGCAGAUAGUUGAAAAGGUAUCAGAAUUCAGGAUCUAUGCCCGGGAGGCGAUCCGACGGUACGAGAGGUACCAGCUCCAUUGUUGUAGCACCUCGGCGGCACGUAGAUUUUCAGCCAUUGGGCCUAUAAUGCCAAUGUCGCCACUGCCUUGUGAGAAAACUUGUUCCGGCCUAGUAAUUGAUGGUCGGAUGAGAAAGUUUAUCAAGUCUUUGUCUAAUGACACGGAUCAGCAGCUCAAGGUGGUGUCUGUUCAUGGAUCUAGAUGUCUUGGUAAAACAAUGCUCGCCAAAGUGUUGUAUAAUAAAAUUGGGAGGAUAUUCCAUUGUCGGGCUUUCGUCCGGGUGUCCAAAAAGCCUGAUAUGAAGAGGCUUUUCCGCGACAUGCUAUCACAAUUCCAGCGGAAGCAGCCCCAAGGAAGCCAAGACGCUUCUGAUGAACUUCGUGUUACUGCUGAAAAUAUCAGGAAUUAUCUACAUGGCAAGAGGCACUUAUAUGCAAAUCAUAUGUACAACACUUAUAUUGCAUACUAUGUACUUAUUUUCCACAUGGUCCAGAAUCACAUGUACUACAUUAAAUCACUACAGGUUGCUCUUUUGUUUUUGAGAAAAAAAAGGCAUGAUGAUAUAGUCAAUUUAUGA
rnacentral:rRNA from 1 species